CUCUUGAAAUAAAACUACCCCCUGUCACCCGUUGACCACAAACGCUGUAAAGGGUUAAAAACGUCGGGAUGUAUUAUAAAUUCACUAUACGCGAUAUAAUCCGUUUUCAUAUUUUUCGUUAUAUUAGCGGCUUCGAAACCCUCCACUGAGCCAAGGAGCUAUGAGUUCCCAUUGGGAGCCUCCCAAUGUGUUUUUGGUCUGCUAUUUAUGACUUUUCGAAUGAUUAUCUUUCAGACUGAUGAAAACAUUGUUAUUUUCAUGAUGUCGUGACUUAUCCCACUUUUUGUGUUUACAGCUUCCCCAAAAAUCCGAAAUUAAGGAAUCUAUGGAAAGAAUUUUGCAAUAAUAAGCUAAUCUGGGAUCCCAAAAGGACUAGCACACUUUGCUCAGUGCACUUCCAAACAUCGGAUUUUCAAAAUCUUGCGAACAGGAGGAGAAAAUUAGUGGAGAAUGCAAUUCCAAAAUUAAUACCAAAUUGCAUUUGCAACAGCCAUCCAUUACCCAUUGAACCAUCGUGCAAUACUGUUGGGGCUAACACUUCAGCUACGCCAAACUUUUUGACUUCUCUUAGUGAAUCAUCUCAUCAACAACCUCAAAAACAGGAAAUUCAGAUGACAGUUUCUUCUGAAAAAAGUGCUCCAAUGUUUCUAACUCAAAGCGAUAGUCUUUCGCCAAGAAAAAGAAAAAUGCAAAAUCAAAUAGACCACCAAAAGAAAAAAAUAAAGCGACUUCAAGCUAAAAAUCGAUAUUUAAAGAAAAAAGUGGCUACUCUGGAAGAAAUUCUUCAGACUCUGGAUGAGAAAGCAUUUAUCGAUAAAGAAGAAAAAAAUGAUUCUUGAAACAAUCGGUGUUGAAGAAAAAGAGCUUAUAUAGCGACAACAGAAGAAAAGUGAAAGUGGUAAGCUGUCAAGGGACAAAUAUUCACCAGAACUAAGAUGUUUCGCUCUAACCCUUAACUUUUACUCGCCAAAAGCCUAUAAAUUCGUGCGUAAAACUUUCGGAACAUGUUUGCCGCAUCCGAGGACGCUGACUUAAUGGUACAGUAAUAUUGAAGGUCGACCGGGUUUUACCAAGGAAGCAUUAACAGCGUUGAAGUAUAAAGCAGAGGCCAAUCCAGAUAAAAAAAAUUACUGUUCUCUGGUUUUUGACGAGAUGAAAAUUAUGUGUAAUCCAGAAAGCCCUCCUAAUAGUAACAGACAAUUCGGCCGUGUUGAUUAUGGGUUCGAUUUAGUAACUGACAAUUCAGUAGAAGCUACAGAUGUCCUAGUUUUUCUACUAGUGGGCAUAAACACAUCAUGGAAGGUUCCAAUUGCCUUUUUUUUAGUCAAAGGCACAAGUGCAAAAUUAAAGGCACAAUUAGUAACUAAAGCAUUUGAACUGAUUCAUGAAACUGGAAUUCAGAUUAAAGCGUUAACAUGUGACGGCACAAGACCGAACCUAGCUAUGGCAGCCGAGUUAGGUUGCUGUUUAGAUGCAAGCAAAUUACAAACAACCAUGUUAGAUCCUACUACCGGGCUGUGCGUUUAUUGUUUUUUGGAUCCCAGUCACAUGCUGAAGUUGAUCCGUAAUACCUUUAGCGACUAUAAAUGUUUCUUUGAAAUAUAGAAACAUUGAAUAAAAUACAGGAAGAAGAGUUGUUUUAUAUGGCAAAUAAGUUGAGGACAAACCACAUUUAUUUUAAAUCAAAAAUUAUGAAUGUUCGUCUUGCAGCUCAAUUAUUUAGUGCAAGUGUUGCUGACGCACUUAUAUUUUGUGAGACAAAAUUAAAUUUACCAGACUUCCACGGUUGUACUGCAACUGCAAAUUUUAUUUUGCUUAUCAAUGAUGUUUUUGAUAUACUAGAUUCGCGAUCUUGUCAGCAUCGCGUCAAAAGAGCAUUAAAUAAAGAAAACAUUGGAAAGGCUUAUCAAAGAAUGGCCGAAGCUCAAAAGGUUUUGAUGAAUCAUAUAAAUAACAUCAAUAAAUUGCUCUGAUAAUUAGAUUAAGAUUAAUUACGAUUCAUAAGAGCUUGUUGCUAGGCCUACAUGAAUAAAGUAUAUUUUGAUUGAUUGAUUGAUUGAUUGAAUCUGUCGGCUUACGUUAAAAAGCGUAAUGGUGAGAUAAGUAAAAUGAAUUUAGUAAAUUCUCCUCGGUGCACUGGUUUUCUUGGAUUUUUGAUCUGUAUAGAGAGUGCCAAAUCUAUAUUUCAAGAAUUCGUUCAAGAUACUGAGAACGGCCUUCAGUAUAUGCCUCUCCAUAGAGUAAGCCAGGACCAUAUUUAACCUUUUUUUUUCAAAUGUAAGAAGUCAUGGUGGUCACUGCGAUAAUCCCACUCCCCGCCAGUUUGAAGCCAUAUAUAAAAAACUACUAAUCAAUACACAAUUAAUGCAAACUGGUAGUGGGACUAACUGCAUCCCAUUAGAAAAAAUAUCAAUACUGAAUUGCACAUCCGCAAUUCAAAAGAUUAAUGCGUCAUCUAUACGCGAAUUCAGCAAUGACGACACUGAUGAAGUCAAUUUCCAAAAUGUCGUUGAUGAUUUAAUGGAUGAAAUUACUCAAACUUUUUUAUCUCCUUUUGGCGAAAAAGUUGUGGAGUACAUAGCAGGUUUUGUUGUUUAUUCUAUAUCAAAAAAAAUCAAAUGCAACACUUGCAUCAAAGGUUUACUCGGUCCAGUUGACAAAAAUAGCUUAAUACAUCAAAAAAGCAGAGGCAACUUACAACAUGCUUCAAAAGAGGUAAUCAACUUAUGUCGAGUUUGCGAAAAGGAGAUAAGACAGCGAUUAGGAGAAGAUAAUAAACCUACCCGAUCAUGUAUCACAAACCAAAUUGUGCUGAAAGUAUUGAAGAAAUUUAUUGGCAAAGAUUUAUUUCCGUUCAUUUCUUAUCACUCCUAUGAAAAUAUUUUAUGGACCAUAAUAUGGAGCUUGCUAGAUUAAUCUUAGAAAAAUACUCCGACACCAGAAUUUCAUUCCUGAUAAAAAAAUUGAACCCAAAAAAAUGUGUACGUCAAAUAUACACAAAAUUAAUACAUUUUAAAAACCAAUGAAAGUCUUGUUUGUAUAUUGUAUCGGGUAUUAUUCAAGGAUCCAAUUGGAUACUAAUGCUGUUUCGGAUGUGAGACAGGCCUAUGGAACUCUCCGCGCGAGCUCGGAUUUUUGCAUAUGAAUCUCGUCUCGUUCACGGUGUAAAAGCUAGUCGGUUGCUGUAAAGAGUGCCAUACAACUUUUUGCCAAAAGGUGAUAAGUUUGCGUCUCAAUUUCAUCCAUUAAAUCAUAAAUAAAUAAAUAUUAUAGAGACAUUCUUACACAAAUUUACUAAGUCCCACGAUAAGCUCAAGAAAGCUUGUGUUGUGGGUACUCAGACAACGAUAUAUAUAAUAUACAAAUACUUAAAUACAUAGAAAACAUCCAUGACUCAGCAAAUAUUUGUGUUCAUCAUACAAAUUAAUGCCCUUACCUUCAUAGGCUUCAUAGGCAGGGUCACUAACCACUAGGCCAGACCGGUCAUCAACUUAGAGGAUAUAACUAACGGAGACGCCAUGUCUAAAAUUUUCGGUACAAAAUAGUCUGCCGUUUUUUGCGGGGGAGGGGCACAUCAAAUGUAUAGGUACGUCAUGUCAGAUAAACGUCAGUCCAUACAUAUGGUUGACAAGUUGUUGACCAUUGGCCGCCUAUUUUCGACAGAGGGGAACGCCUGUUAAUGGCGGCUCCAUUGUUAAUUACUCCGAGGUCAUCAACGACAUUUAGGAAAUUAACUUCAUCAGUGUCGCAGUGUCGUCAAACUGUAUUCGCGUAUAGAUAACGCAUUGAUUUUAUGAAUUGCGGAUGCGCAAUUCAGUACCUAUAGAUAUUUUUUCUAAUGCAAUGCAGUUAGUCCCACUAUGACACUUAUGUAAGUAAGUACUUAAGUACUUACUGUUAUUUAAUUGUAUUACUUUUGCCCUGGUUCUGGGACCUAUAAUUCUGUCUAUUUAUGUUUUCUCAGAUAGUUUCUUUAUUGUGUAACAUAAAUCUCUAAUUUCUCUAUCUGGUUUAGGUGUAAUUUAUACUCGGAGUUUUACAAUUCAUUUUUACUGGGUUCAUUUGCAUUGUUUAUAAAAUGGCGUGAACACUGAGGUUAUCGCAGUUACUUAUUGCAACUUAUCUUGCUCAUAGUUAUUUUACGUUUUGCUUUUAUAUGCCUACCUAAUGGCAAGUUUUAAUUUUAAUGCUAGUUUGAUCAGUCGAUCUCAAGGCCAGCCUUGACAAUUAAAACUUAUAUUUGUACCUACCUAAGUAGUAGUAGUCUAUGUCUUCUCUUGUUUAAGUAGGUACUUAUUUGUAAAAUAAUUUCUAAGCGUCGGCAACCCUAGCGUUGUGCCGCUGCGCGCGGUGCGGGGAGCUGCGCGUUGAAGGUCACUCCAUUGUAUUUUUGUGUAGGUAUCAAACCGGUAGCUAUUUGCGUUUUCUUUGAGAAAUAAGUAUCUCUUCGUAAGAACUAUUAUGUAAUGUGCUAUAGGCCUGUAAAAAGUAAUAAAUACUGUAUUUUAGGUUGAAAAUGUUUCAAUUAGUUACCUUUAUUCCUACCUCCUUAAUACGAUAAAUGCCCUAACUUAUCGAUAAUAUUUCGAUAUUACUAUGUCGACACAAGCACAUCUCUCAAAAAGCAAUAAAAUUCAAAUGUGUUCGUAUGUGUUAGCGUGCGUGUUGUGACAUGGUUGCAUAGAAGGUAGGAUCGUAUACGAGGGGCAAACUGAAAGUGUUUAGAAUAGAAAAAGCUGAAGUAAUUAGGACGUUACUCUUUAUUUUAAUGCGUGCUUUAUCUCUUUCUGACCACGCGUA